rnacentral:rRNA from 1 species
CGGCUGGCGGCGGGCCUAACACAUGCGAGUCGAGCGGUAGAGAGAAGCUUGCUUCUCUUGAGAGCGGCGGACGGGUGAGUAAUGCCUAGGAAUCUGCCUAGUGGUGGGGGAUAACGUUCGGAAACGGACGCUAAUACCGCAUACGUCCUACGGGAGAAAGCGGGGGAKCUUCGGGCCUCGCGCCAUUAGAUGAGCCUAGGUCGGAUUAGCUAGUUGGUGAGGUAAUGGCUCACCAAGGCGACGAUCCGUAACUGGUCUGAGAGGAUGAUCAGUCACACUGGAACUGAGACACGGUCCAGACUCUACGGGAGGCAGCAGUGGGGAAUAUUGGACAAUGGGCGAAAGCCUGAUCCAGCCAUGCCGCGUGUGUGAAGAAGGUCUUCGGAUUGUAAAGCACUUUAAGUUGGGAGGAAGGGUAGUAACUUAAUACGUUGCUAUUUUGACGUUACCGACAGAAUAAGCACCGGCUAACUUCGUGCCAGCAGCCGCGGUAAUACGAAGGGUGCAAGCGUUAAUCGGAAUUACUGGGCGUAAAGCGCGCGUAGGUGGUUCAGUAAGUUGGAUGUGAAAUCCCCGGGCUCAACCUGGGAACUGCAUCCAAAACUGCUGGACUAGAGUACGGUAGAGGGUGGUGGAAUUUCCUGUGUAGCGGUGAAUGCGUAGAUAUAGGAAGGAACACCAGUGGCGAAGGCGACCACCUGGACUGAUACUG